GUCCAGGGGCGGGAAUCGAACCCACAACGUUCUGCUUACCGGGCAGGUGCCAUGUCCACUAGGCUACCCUGGA
rnacentral:tRNA from 1 species